GAUGAACGCUGGCGGCGUGCCUAAUACAUGCAAGUCGAGCGAACGGACGAGAAGCUUGCUUUUCUGAUGUUAGCGGCGGACGGGUGAGUAACACGUGGAUAACCUACCUGUAAGACUGGGAUAACUUCGGGAAACCGGAGCUAAUACCGGAUAAUAUUUUGAACCGCAUGGUUCAAAAGUGAAAGACGGUCUUGCUGUCACUUAUAGAUGGAUCCGCGCUGCAUUAGCUAGUUGGUAAGGUAACGGCUUACCAAGGCAACGAUGCAUAGCCGACCUGAGAGGGUGAUCGGCCACACUGGAACUGAGACACGGUCCAGACUCCUACGGGAGGCAGCAGUAGGGAAUCUUCCGCAAUGGGCGAAAGCCUGACGGAGCAACGCCGCGUGAGUGAUGAAGGUCUUCGGAUCGUAAAACUCUGUUAUUAGGGAAGAACAUAUGUGUAAGUAACUGUGCACAUCUUGACGGUACCUAAUCAGAAGGCCACGGCUAACUACGUG
rnacentral:rRNA from 1 species